rnacentral:rRNA from 1 species
UCCGCUAGUAGUGGCGAGCGAACGCGGAAGAGGCCAAACCGGAGGUAGCAAUAUUUCCGGGGUUAGGACUGCAAUAUGUAACUUUAAUCUUUAACUGAAUGCUUUGGGAAGAGCAGCGAAACAGGGUGACAGCCCCGUAAGUGAAAGAGAUUGAGUGCUAGCAGUAUCCAGAGUACCAGCGGACACGUGAAACCCGCUGGGAAGAUGGGGGGACCAUCCUCCAAGCCUAAAUACUACUCAGUGACCGAUAGUGGAGCAGUACCGUGAGGGAAAGGUGAAAAGUACCCCGGGAGGGGAGUGAAAAAGAACCUGAAACCUUGUGCCUACAAGCACCGAGAGCACGUUAAAGUGUGAUCGGGUACUUUUUGUAGAACGGUCCGGCGAGUUAUAUUUGCGAGCGAGGUUAAGUAACUGGAGUUACGGAGCCGCAGCGAGAGCGAGUCUGAAUAGGGCGUAUGAAGUUGCAGGUAUUAGACCCGAAACCGGGUGACCUAUCCAUGAGCAGGCUGAAGCGGUGGUAAGACACCGUGGAGGGCCGCACCCACGUCUGUUGAAAAAGCCGGGGAUGACUUGUGGAUAGCGGAGAAAUUCCAAUCGAACUCGGAGAUAGCUGGUUCUCCCCGAAAUAGCUUUAGGGCUAGCGUUAUUUUAGAUUACCGGAGGUAAAGCACUGAAUGGUCUAGGGGCCGCGAGGUUACCAAAGCCUAUCAAACUCUGAAUGCCGGAUAAUUGAUGAAUAGCAGUCAGACUGUGUGAGAUAAGUCUCAUAGUCAAAAGGGAAACAGCCCAGAUCUACAGCUAAGGUCCCAAAUGAACACUAAGUGGAAAAUGAUGUGAAACUGCGAAGACAACCAGGAUGUUGGCUUAGAAGCAGCCACUCAUUCAAAGAGUGCGUAAUAGCUCACUGGUCGAGUGGUUUUGCGCAGAAAAUGUAACGGGGCUAAGUGUUCAACCGAAGCUUAGGCAUUGCAGUAAUGCAUUGGGUAGGGGAGCGUCGUAUGCGGGGCGAAGUCAGAGCGGAAGCACUGGUGGACUGCAUACGAGUGAGAAUGCCGGAAUAAGUAGCGAGAAUUAUGUGAGAAUCAUAAUGGCCGAAAAUCUAAGGUUUCCUGGGGAAGGUUCGUCCGCCCAGGGUUAGUCGGGAGCUAAGCUCAGGCCGAGAGGCGUAGGCGAUGCACAUACGGUAGAAAUUCCGUAACCACCGAACUUUAAGCUAGAGGGACGCUUUCUUCAAGGUUAUCCCGGGCGAUGGUUGCCCCGGGCGUAAGGGACCGAAAUUUAGUAGGGAAGUAACUGGCGAGAGAGACGAGAAAAGCUCUAGUGUAUACUAAGGUGCCCGUACCGCAAACCGACACAGGUAGAAGAGGAUGAGAAUUCUAAGGCCAACGGGAGAAGGGUUGUUAAGGAACUCGGCAAAUUGGCCCCGUAACUUCGGGAUAAGGGGCGCCUGCGAGAGCAGGCCGCAGUGAAAAGGCCCAAGCGACUGUUUAGCAAAAACACAGCUCUCUGCUAAAUCGAAAGAUGACGUAUAGGGGGUGACGCCUGCCCGGUGCUGGAAGGUUAAGGGGAGUGCUUAGCGCAAGCGAAGGUGCGAACUUAAGCCCCAGUAAACGGCGGCCGUAACUAUAACGGUCCUAAGGUAGCGAAAUUCCUUGUCAGGUAAGUUCUGACCCGCACGAAUGGCGUAACGAUUUGGGCACUGUCUCAACAGCCCGCCCGGCGAAAUUGUAGUACCGGUGAAGAUGCCGGUUACCCGCAACUAGACGGAAAGACCCCAUGGAGCUUCACUGUAGCUUGAUAUUGGACUUCGGUAUUCCAUGUACAGGAUAGGUGGGAGGCUAGGAAGCGAGCGCGCCAGCGUUCGUGGAGCCGUCCUUGGGAUACCACUCUUGGGAUAUUGGAGUUCUAACCUGCGACCAUGAAUCUGGUCGGGGGACAUUGUCAGGUGGGCAGUUUGACUGGGGC